UGGAGCAUAUUAUAAAUUAUUAUAUUUUAGUUACAUUAAAAUGAUGCAUGUGUUUGCUGUUCUGA
rnacentral:tRNA from 1 species